GCGCCCUGUUCCCGCCUCUCCAGUUAAGGCCGAUGGUGUGAGCCCGGGCUCUGCGCGAGCGAGGGACAACGGAAGGGACGGGCAGGUGUGGACGCGGGGCCACGCAGCCCGACGGCGGGAGUCGCAGGUGCUGGGUGCAUGGGCCAGUGAGGACGCACGGAGAUCCCCUCGCCGCGCAGAGGAGGAGCAGCGCGGGAGCCAGGCGCUGCCCCACGACCCUGCGUCCGAGCGAGCGGAACCUCGCACUUCGCCCGGGGACAGUCCAAAGUCCGCGCUAUGGAAGAGGAGAAAUAUUUGCCUGAGCUGAUGGCAGAGAAAGAUAGCCUGGAUCCAUCUUUUGUGCAUGCAUCGCGCCUUUUGGCAGAAGAAAUUGAAAAAUUUCAAGGUUCUGAUGGAAAAAAGGAAGACGAAGAAAAGAAGUAUCUUGAUGUCAUCAGCAACAAAAACAUAAAGCUCUCAGAAAGAGUACUGAUUCCUGUCAAGCAGUAUCCAAAGUUCAAUUUUGUGGGGAAAUUGCUUGGACCAAGAGGAAAUUCCUUGAAGAGGCUACAGGAAGAAACAGGUGCUAAAAUGUCUAUCCUGGGCAAAGGAUCAAUGAGAGAUAAAGCUAAGGAAGAAGAACUAAGGAAGAGUGGGGAAGCCAAAUAUGCCCACUUGAGUGAUGAGCUUCAUGUAUUAAUUGAAGUGUUUGCUCCACCUGGGGAAGCUUAUUCACGUAUGAGUCAUGCAUUGGAAGAGAUUAAAAAAUUCCUGGUUCCUGACUACAAUGAUGAAAUUCGUCAGGAACAACUACGUGAAUUAUCUUACUUAAAUGGCUCAGAGGACUCUGGUCGUGGCCGAGGUAUUAGAGGCAGAGGGAUCAGAAUAGCUCCCACAGCUCCUUCAAGGGGCCGUGGGGGUGCCAUUCCUCCUCCCCCACCACCUGGACGAGGUGUUCUCACCCCUCGAGGAAGUACUGUAACCCGUGGAGCCCUUCCAGUGCCACCUGUAGCAAGAGGUGUCCCUACCCCUCGAGCCCGGGGGGCACCAACAGUGCCAGGAUACAGGGCGCCUCCUCCUCCAGCCCAUGAAGCUUAUGAAGAAUAUGGUUAUGAUGAUGGCUACGGGGGUGAAUAUGAUGACCAGACCUAUGAAGCUUAUGAUAACAGCUAUGCGACCCAAACACAAAGAACUUACAGAGUUUGUGGCCAAUGAAGGCUUAGGAAUGGACCUGAUGGCAAAGAUGAAGGAGAUAGAGAGUCAAUGUGCCUGAAUACUAUGACUACGGUCAUGGAGUAAGUGAGGAUGCCUAUGACAGCUACGCACCAGAAGAAUGGGCCACAACCCGCUCUAGCUUGAAAGCACCACCGCCGAGGUCAGCAAGAGGGGGAUACAGGGAACACCCCUAUGGUAGAUAUUGAAGGUCCUUCCCACCUGUGACCUCACCUCAAAGACAAUUCAUAGCCUGUGGUCUCCACAUAAACAGCAACAAGACAAGUAAUAGUCCUUUUUUUUGUUUGUUGUUUUCUAUUCUAGGGAUAACUGCUCAUGAUUACUCCCAUAUAUUUCUUGUAUUUCCCUCUAUACUGUUGGCGUGACAUUGACAUUAGUAUUAUUUUACAAAGCAGACUGAAGAAGACAUUGGCAAGCAUAGUCUAUAAACCUCUCAGUAGGAUGAUAUUCUCUUGGUUGUUUUUCAUUGUUGUGUGUAAUCUUUUUUUUUUUCCUUUUUUUUUUUUUUUUUUUUUUUUGAGAAAAAGCAUGAAUCUGUUAACAGAUUUUGAGUCUUAACCAACUAGCAGAAACUUUGUUUAGGGUUGCUAAAAGACUGUAAUAUGAUUUUUGAACUAGCUGAUAAUAAAGUUGUAGAUAAGAUGUUUUAACCUGUCUUUCAAUAUCUGUUAGUUAGACAAAGAUGUUCGAUAUUAAGUUUGUAAAUUUAAUUUUAAAUGCUGUUUUAAUGGGGUUGAAAACAAGCAGCUACUGUAUGUAUGUAGCUAACUGAAUUUGUUCAGUGUUUUAACCUGUAUUUGUUAAAAAAGAAAAACACACACACACACACACAUAAAGUUCCAUGUGUAAGCUUCUCUAAAUAGGAAACCACAAUUUGUCAAAUAUGUUUGCCAUAAUUUGUCAAUAAAGCUGAAAACUUUUGUAAAAACUAAAUUUGGAAUUACUUGUUUUCUAGCUUUAAAUGCCUGCUUUAUUUCUUCUUCAAGAGAUGCCUAAACUGUUUUCUAUUUAAAAAUUACAAAAAUGAACCCAAGCCUGUUUUAAGAUAUUUGUGUAAUACUUAAAAAUGUAUUAAUAACUUAUGGUUGUUAAAUAAUUUAAAAGUUAACAAACUAAACUGUUACAUGAAUCAUGGUUAGUAAACACUAAUGUAUAACAUGUUAAUGGAAAAAAAUGGAUUUAGAAUAAUAAAUGGAUUUUAAACUAU